rnacentral:sRNA from 1 species
UAUUAUUCAAAUUCUACCUUGUCUAAAUUAUUAUUAUUUUCGUUAGUCAAAUAAAAGUAAUUUUAUAAACGGACAGAUAUUAAAGCCAUGAAUGAUAAUAUAGAUCGCAUUCAAAACCGCACCGCAACAGUACUGUAACAAUAUCAAAAAUUAUAUAUAUAUAUAUGUAUUUAUGUAUUUUUGUUAAUAUUUGAACUGUACCGCAUUUCUCCAAUACCGCAAAACGCAGUAACCAUUCGAAUUAAAGCAUAAAGACAAUUCAAAUUUGGUAUUUUCAUAUCAUUUU